AUCUGAGCAGGAGGAGAGCCGCUCGGCUCCACACUGUGUCGAGUGUGCUGCAGGAUACGUCUCCUCGUGGCUGCCUGUACAGCCGGACUACAGAUCCUCCCUUUCCAUUUUGCUGCCUGUCUCCUUCCAUCCACGUUCCACAACUCAUCUGUCACUCCUGCUUUUUUCUCGUGCCUCGGAGCAACAACACAACCUCCUCCCCUGCCUUUGAAGGAGUAAACCAAACCGGCCAUCUGAAGCUUCCUCUAAAUGAGCC